UACGUAGGGGGCAAGCGUUGUCCGGAAUUACUGGGCGUAAAGCGUGCGUAGGUGGUUCGUUAAGUCUGAUGUGAAAGCCCUGGGCUCAACCUGGGAAUGGCAUUGGAUACUGGCGAUCUAGAGUGCGGUAGAGGGCAGUGGAAUUCCCGGCGGUAGCAGUGAAAUGCGUAGAGAUCGGGAGGAACAUCUGUGGCGAAGGCGACUGCCUGGACCAGCACUGACACUGAGGCACGAAAG
rnacentral:rRNA from 1 species